AGAUUUGGGAGGCUUUUAUUUUGUAAUUACACAUCAGACUGUCCUGAAACGAUGCAGCUGACAUUGUGGCAAGGUGUACUCUCAAUCUGAGGUGAAAGUGGUCUGUGCAAUCUAUAACUUUAGUUUUUAUAGAUUUUUGAAAGUAGAGAUGCAGCAUCUUUUUUAUGAGAUUUGGGAGGCUUUUAUUUUGUAAUUACACAUCAGACUGUCCUGAAACGAUGCAGCUGACAUUGUGGCAAGGUGUACUCUCAAUCUGAGGUGAAAGUGGCCUGUGCAAUCUAUAACUUUUGUUUUUAUAGAUUUUUGAAAGUAGAGAUGCAGCAGCUUUUUUAUGAGAUUUGGGAGGCUUUUAUUUUGUAAUUACACAUCAGACUGUCCUGAAACGAUGCAGCUGACAUUGUGGCAAGGUGUACUCUCAAUCUGAGGUGAAAGUGGUCUGUGCAAUCUAUAACUUUAGUUUUUAUAGAUUUUUGAAAGUAGAGAUGCAGCAUCUUUUUUAUGAGAUUUGGGAGGCUUUUAUUUUGUAAUUACACAUCAGACUGUCCUGAAACGAUGCAGCUGACAUUGUGGCAAGGUGUACUCUCAAUCUGAGGUGAAAGUGGCCUGUGCAAUCUAUAACUUUUGUUUUUAUAGAUUUUUGAAAGUAGAGAUGCAGCAGCUUUUUUAUGAGAUUUGGGAGGCUUUUAUUUUGUAAUUACACAUCAGACUGUCCUGAAACGAUGCAGCUGACAUUGUGGCAAGGUGUACUCUCAAUCUGAGGUGAAAGUGGCCUGUGCAAUCUAUAACUUAGAUUUUUAUAGAUUUUUGAAUAUAGAGAUGCAACAUCCCAUUUAUGAGAUGUGGGAGGCUCUUAUUUUGUAAUUCCACAUCAGACUGUCCUAAAACGAUGCAUCUGACAUCGUGGCAAGGUGUACUCUCAAUCAGAGGUGAAAGUGGCCUGUGCAAUCUAUAACUUUUUUUAAUAUACAUUUUUGAAAGUAGAGAUGCAACAGUUUUUUUUUAGAUGUGGGAGGCCUUUAUUUUGUAAUUACACAUCAGACUGUCCUGAAACGAUGCAUCUGACAUCGUGGCAAGGUGUACUCUCAAUCUGAGGUGAAAGUGGCCUGUGCAAUCUAGAACUUAGAUUUUUAUAGAUUUUUGAAUAUAGAGAUGCAGCAUCCUAUUUAUGAGAUUUGGGAGGCUCUUAUGUUGUAAUCUCACAUCAGACCUUCCUGAAACGAUGCAUCUGACAUUGUGGCAAGGUGUACUCUCAAUCUGAGGUGAAAGUGGCCUGUGCAAUCUAUAACUUUUUUUAAUAUACAUUUUUGAAAGUAGAAAUGCAACAGUUUUUUUUUUAGAUGUGGGAGGCCUUUAUUUUGUAAUUACACAUCAGACUGUCCUGAAACGAUGCAGCUGACAUUGUGGCAAGGUGUACUCUCAAUCUGAGGUGAAAGUGGCCUGUGCAAUCUAUAACUUUUUUAAAUUUACAUUUUUCAAAGUAGAGAUGCAGCAGCUUUUUUAUGAGAUUUGGGAGGCUUUUAUUUUGUAAUUACACAUCAGACUGUCCUGAAACGAUGCAGCUGACAUUGUGGCAAGGUGUACUCUCAAUCUGAGGUGAAAGUGGCCUGUGCAAUCUAUAACUUUUGUUUUUAUAGAUUUUUGAAAGUAGAGAUGCAGCAGCUUUUUUAUGAGAUUUGGGAGGCUUUUAUUUUGUAAUUACACAUCAGAUUGUCCUGAAACGAUGCAGCUGACAUUGUGGCAAGGUGUACUCUCAAUCUGAGGUGAAAGUGGCCUGUGCAAUCUAUAACUUAGAUUUUUAAAGAUUUUUCAAUGUAGAGAUGCAGCAUCCCAUUUAUGAGAUUUGGGAGGCUCUUAUUUUGUAAUUCCACAUCAGACCGUCCUGAAACAAUGCAG